GUGUUUAAAACUGUACACUCGUGCUGCUUCUGCUGCUGCUGCACCAAAACAAACGUCACACUGUCAACAUCCUGAAGCUCCGAGUCAGACUGAACGGGAAGUCGCGUGCGCCGCCUGGUGGAGCGGAUGGAGAACUGCACUAGAGUUCUUAACUGGAGGAGUUACAGCGUUAAAGCCUCGUUUAUUUAAAGUCUGAUAAGUCAUUUAAGCUCCAGAUAUAUAUAAUUUAAAAUGUAGACACCCAGACAAUAUAAUGCAUCUAUUAGGUAGGUUAAUAAAUAGCUCAAUGUCAAGUGCCAAAUAAGUCAAGAUGUGGUCGUCAGCGCCCUCUUGUGGACAAUGAAUCAGUGUUGUUCAGAUCAUGAGCUCGUGGUGUUCAGUCGCAGAUGACUUCUGUUGGAAUGGAUCUACACUGAUGUCUGUUUUAGUACUCCAGUCCUGGGGACCAACAGAUCUCCACAUUUUACAUGUCUCUCUUAUCAAAUACACACAGGUUCCUGAAAACAGGUUGUGAAUCAGGCCCCGUAUUCACAGAAUCUUUUAUCUUCUCAACAUCAGAAAAAGUUUUAAGCUAAGAGUUUCUUUUACAACUUAUUCACAAAGCUGCAGAUUUAAAGGUUUAAGCUAAGAAUGAGGGCGGGUUCAGCUCAUUGCUAUGGAUGAUGUCAGCAUGCUUAUUAACUAUGCACACAGUGACUGGAUGAUAAGCAGGUGAGGAGUCUCUGUCAGAAAUGUGUUGAUAGACACUUUGCAGAGGACAAUAUCAUGUAGCCAUGUUCAAAUAAAGGUUUUAAAAUGCA